rnacentral:rRNA from 1 species
UACGAAGGGGGCUAGCGUUGCUCGGAAUCACUGGGCGUAAAGGGUGCGUAGGCGGGUCUUUUAAGUCAGGGGUGAAAUCCUGGAGCUCAACUCCAGAACUGCCUUUGAUACUGAAGAUCUUGAGUUCGGGAGAGGUGAGUGGAACUGCGAGUGUAGAGGUGAAAUUCGUAGAUAUUCGGAAGAACACCAGUGGCGAAGGCGGCUCACUGGCCCGGUACUGACGCUGAGGUGCGAAAGCGUGGGGAGCAAACAGG